rnacentral:rRNA from 1 species
CCUACGGGAUGCAGCAGUGAGGAAUAUUGGUCAAUGGGCGCGAGCCUGAACCAGCCAAGUCGCGUGAGGGAAGACGGUCCUAUGGAUUGUAAACCUCUUUUGUCGGGGAGCAAAAGACGCCACGCGUGGCGUUCCGAGAGUACCCGAAGAAAAAGCAUCGGCUAACUCCGUGCCAGCAGCCGCGGUAAUACGGAGGAUGAGAGCGUUAUCCGGAUUUAUUGGGUUUAAAGGGUGCGCAGGCGGAAGAUCAAGUCAGCGGUAAAAGUGAGAGGCUCAACCUCUUCGAGCCGUUGAAACUGGUUUUCUUGAGUGAGUGAGAAGUAUGUGGAAUGCGUGGUGUAGCGGUGAAAUGCAUAGAUAUCACGCAGAACUCCGAGUGCGAAGGCAGCAUACCGGCGCUCAACUGACGCUCAUGCACGAAAGUGUGGGUAUCGAAUAGGAUUAGAUACCCUGGUAGUC